rnacentral:rRNA from 1 species
GUCUUCCCUGACAGUUUAAACUGUCCUAAAGGGUUGUUCGAGACUAGAACGUUGAUAGGCAGGGUGUGUAAGCGUUGUGAGGCGUUGAGCUAACCUGUACUAAUUGCCCGUGAGGCUUAACCAUACAACACCCAAGGGGUUUUGUA